CACAUUUAAAACAAGCUCGGCUGAUUAAAUAACAUUCCCCCAAAUGUCGUUUUCCACAAUGUUGACAUUCCGGUCUAGUAGGUUUAACACUACCUGUACUUGCCAUAGAAGUUGCCUGAGCUUUAGAACCUGAAUAUUGUCUUCCUUGAUCUCUUUGAAAAUUCACACUAGAAACAUUCGAUCGAGUAUUCAUUUCUUUAAACUUCUUCGCUUGAGACUAAAAUGGCUUGC
rnacentral:lncRNA from 1 species